rnacentral:rRNA from 1 species
UUAAGCGACUAAGCGUACACGGUGGAUGCCCUGGCAGUCAGAGGCGAUGAAGGGCGUGCUAAUCUGCGAUAAGCGCCGGUAAGGUGAUAUGAACCGUUAUAACCGGCGAUACCCGAAUGGGGAAACCCAGUGUGACUCGUCACACUAUCAUUAACUGAAUCCAUAGGUUAAUGAGGCGAACCGGGGGAACUGAAACAUCUAAGUACCCCGAGGAAAAGAAAUCAACCGAGAUUCCCCCAGUAGCGGCGAGCGAACGGGGAGGAGCCCAGAGCCUGAAUCAGCAUGUGUGUUAGUGGAAGCGUCUGGAAAGGCGCGCGAUACAGGGUGACAGCCCCGUACACAAAAGCGCAUGUGCUGUGAGCUCGAUGAGUAGGGCGGGACACGUGGUAUCCUGUCUGAAUAUGGGGGGACCAUCCUCCAAGGCUAAAUACUCCUGACUGACCGAUAGUGAACCAGUACCGUGAGGGAAAGGCGAAAAGAACCCCGGCGAGGGGAGUGAAAAAGAACCUGAAACCGUGUACGUACAAGCAGUGGGAGCCCCACCACUAAGCCAGUGGUGAACUCCACAUACGCAUCCUUUGCUGAGGAUACGGUUAACGGAGCGAAAGCGACGUUCAACCGCAAAAGAAGCAGAGGGGGCUUAGUGGUGGGGUGACUGCGUACCUUUUGUAUAAUGGGUCAGCGACUUAUAUUCUGUAGCAAGGUUAACCGAAUAGGGGAGCCGGAGGGAAACCGAGUCUUAAUUGGGCGUUAAGUUGCAGGGUAUAGACCCGAAACCCGGUGAUCUAGCCAUGGGCAGGUUGAAGGUUGGGUAACACUAACUGGAGGACCGAACCGACUAAUGUUGAAAAAUUAGCGGAUGACCUGUGGCUGGGGGUGAAAGGCCAAUCAAACCGGGAGAUAGCUGGUUCUCCCCGAAAGCUAUUUAGGUAGCGCCUCGUGAAUUCAUCUCCGGGGGUAGAGCACUGUUUCGGCUAGGGGGCCAUCCCGGCUUACCAACCCGAUGCAAACUGCGAAUACCGGAGAAUGUUAUCACGGGAGACACACGGCGGGUGCUAACGUCCGUCGUGAAGAGGGAAACAACCCAGACCGCCAGCUAAGGUCCCAAAGUCAUGGUUAAGUGGGAAACGAUGUGGGAAGGCCCAGACAGCCAGGAUGUUGGCUUAGAAGCAGCCAUCAUUUAAAGAAAGCGUAAUAGCUCACUGGUCGAGUCGGCCUGCGCGGAAGAUGUAACGGGGCUAAACCAUGCACCGAAGCUGCGGCAGCGACGCUGAUGCGUUGUUGGGUAGGGGAGCGUUCUGUAAGCCUGCGAAGGUGGCCUGUGAGGGUUGCUGGAGGUAUCAGAAGUGCGAAUGCUGACAUAAGUAACGAUAAAGCGGGUGAAAAGCCCGCUCGCCGGAAGACCAAGGGUUCCUGUCCAACGUUAAUCGGGGCAGGGUGAGUCGACCCCUAAGGCGAGGCCGAAAGGCGUAGUCGAUGGGAAACGGGUUAAUAUUCCCGUACUUGGUGUUACUGCGAAGGGGGGACGGAGAAGGCUAUGUUGGCCGGGCGACGGUUGUCCCGGUUUAAGCGUGUAGGCUGGUUUUCCAGGCAAAUCCGGAAAAUCAAGGCUGAGGCGUGACGACGAGGCACUACGGUGCUGAAGCAACAAAUGCCCUGCUUCCAGGAAAAGCCUCUAAGCAUCAGGUAACAUCAAAUCGUACCCCAAACCGACACAGGUGGUCAGGUAGAGAAUACCAAGGCGCUUGAGAGAACUCGGGUGAAGGAACUAGGCAAAAUGGUGCCGUAACUUCGGGAGAAGGCACGCUGACACGUAGGUGAAGUGAUUUACUCAUGGAGCUGAAGUCAGUCGAAGAUACCAGCUGGCUGCAACUGUUUAUUAAAAACACAGCACUGUGCAAACACGAAAGUGGACGUAUACGGUGUGACGCCUGCCCGGUGCCGGAAGGUUAAUUGAUGGGGUCAGCGCAAGCGAAGCUCCUGAUCGAAGCCCCGGUAAACGGCGGCCGUAACUAUAACGGUCCUAAGGUAGCGAAAUUCCUUGUCGGGUAAGUUCCGACCUGCACGAAUGGCGUAAUGAUGGCCAGGCUGUCUCCACCCGAGACUCAGUGAAAUUGAACUCGCUGUGAAGAUGCAGUGUACCCGCGGCAAGACGGAAAGACCCCGUGAACCUUUACUAUAGCUUGACACUGAACAUUGAGCCUUGAUGUGUAGGAUAGGUGGGAGGCUUUGAAGUGUGGACGCCAGUCUGCAUGGAGCCGACCUUGAAAUACCACCCUUUAAUGUUUGAUGUUCUAACGUGGACCCGUGAUCCGGGUUGCGGACAGUGUCUGGUGGGUAGUUUGACUGGGGCGGUCUCCUCCUAAAGAGUAACGGAGGAGCACGAAGGUUGGCUAAUCCUGGUCGGACAUCAGGAGGUUAGUGCAAUGGCAUAAGCCAGCUUGACUGCGAGCGUGACGGCGCGAGCAGGUGCGAAAGCAGGUCAUAGUGAUCCGGUGGUUCUGAAUGGAAGGGCCAUCGCUCAACGGAUAAAAGGUACUCCGGGGAUAACAGGCUGAUACCGCCCAAGAGUUCAUAUCGACGGCGGUGUUUGGCACCUCGAUGUCGGCUCAUCACAUCCUGGGGCUGAAGUAGGUCCCAAGGGUAUGGCUGUUCGCCAUUUAAAGUGGUACGCGAGCUGGGUUUAGAACGUCGUGAGACAGUUCGGUCCCUAUCUGCCGUGGGCGCUGGAGAACUGAGGGGGGCUGCUCCUAGUACGAGAGGACCGGAGUGGACGCAUCACUGGUGUUCGGGUUGUCAUGCCAAUGGCACUGCCCGGUAGCUAAAUGCGGAAGAGAUAAGUGCUGAAAGCAUCUAAGCACGAAACUUGCCCCGAGAUGAGUUCUCCCUGAGACUUAGAGUCUCCUGAAGGAACGUUGAAGACGACGACGUUGAUAGGCCGGGUGUGUAAGCGCAGCGAUGCGUUGAGCUAACCGGUACUAAUGAACCGUGAGGCUUAACCUU